GCUACGGGUGGCAGCAGUGAGGAAUAUUGGUCAAUGGGCGUAAGCCUGAACCAGCCAAGUCGCGUGCGGGAUGAAGGUUCUAUGGAUCGUAAACCUCUUUUAUAAGGGAAUAAAGUGUGGGACGUGUCCUAUUUUGUAUGUACCUUAUGAAUAAGGAUUGGCUAAAAUCGUGCCAGCAGCCGCGGUAAUAAGGAGGAUCCGGGCGUUACCCGGAUUUAUUGGGGUUAAAAGGUCCGGUGGCGGGAUUUUAAAUCAGCGGUUAAAGUCUGUGGCUGAACCAUAGACUGGCCGUUGAAACUGGCGGGCUUGAGUAGGUGUGAGGCAUGCGGAAUGCGUGGUGUAGCGGUGAAAUGCUUAGAUAUCACGCAGAACCCCGAUUGCGAAGGCAGCCUGCCAGGCCAUGACUGACGCUGAUGCACGAAAGCGUGGGGAUCAAACAGGAUUAGAUACCCUUGUAGUC
rnacentral:rRNA from 1 species